UAGGUUUGUUCUUGGUAUGAGCUUUCGUGUGUGCAUGCACAUGAAAGCUCAUACCAAGAACAAACUUA